rnacentral:tRNA from 1 species
GCUGGUGUAGCUCAACUUGGCAGAGCGGCUGUCUUGUAAACAGCGGGUUGCAGGUUCGAUUCCUGUCUCCAGCU